UACAGAGGUCUCAAGCGUUGUUCGGAUUCAUUGGGCGUAAAGGGUGCGUAGGUGGCGGGGUAAGUCAGGUGUGAAAUCUCGGAGCUCAACUCCGAAACUGCACUUGAUACUGCCUUGCUCGAGUACUGGAGAGGAGAUUGGAAUUUACGGUGUAGCAGUGAAAUGCGUAGAUAUCGUAAGGAAGACCAGUGGCGAAGGCGAAUCUCUGGACAGUUACUGACACUGAGGCACGAAGGCCAGGGGAGCGAACGGG
rnacentral:rRNA from 1 species